UUUGAUAAAUUCUUCUGCGUGGCCACACGGGUACAUCGAGUCCUCUCUGGGUAUGUAAUGUGUAAUAGUCCCGCCCGUCUGUGCUGACUUGACGUGCGUAAGUAACAACCCCCCUGAGAGUGUCGACGAAUCGUGUUCAUCGUCUUCUCUCCGUGCUGAAAACGUGCAAUCGUUUCUGGGCGAGGAAACAGUGGAGCACCGCAGUGAACGUGGCUUUGCUGCAGCAGAUCCAGGGUGAGGAGCCUGUUUGCAUUCCAUUGCAAUUGCAAAACAAUGGAGGUGAAGCUUGAACAGCAGGACGAAGAUAUAACAUUCAGCAACACUGACACUAAUGGUAAACGGCCAGCUGAGGACAUGGAAGAAGAGCAGGCCUUUAAACGUUCUCGCAACGCAGACGAGAUGGUCGAGCUGCGUGUUUUGCUUCAGAGCAAAAAUGCCGGUGCUGUUAUCGGAAAGGGUGGCAAGAACAUAAAAGCCCUACGCACAGACUACAAUGCCAGUGUAUCAGUCCCAGACAGCAGUGGCCCAGAGCGGAUCCUGAGUGUGAAUGCCAGCAUCGACACUAUUGGAGAUAUACUGCUAAAAAUCAUACCAACUCUAGAAGAGUACCAGCAUUACAGUGGGAUUGAUUUUGACUCUGAGCUUCGACUGCUGAUCCAUCAGAGCUUGGCAGGGGGCAUCAUCGGGGUAAAAGGUGCCAAGAUAAAGGAGCUGAGAGAGAACACCCAGACCACCAUCAAGCUGUUCCAGGAGUGUUGUCCACACUCCACUGACCGAGUCGUCUUGGUGGGAGGAAAGCCAGAACGGGUCAUUGAAUGUAUAAAAGUGAUCCUGGAGCUGGUCUCAGAGGCGCCAAUCAAAGGUCGCGCCCAACCUUAUGACCCUAAUUUCUACGAUGAGACUUACGACUACGGCGGUUUCACUAUGUUAUUCGAGGAGAGAGGCAGACGACCCAUUGGUGGCUUCCCCAUUCGUGUGCGUGGGAGCUUUGAGCGCAUGCCCCCGGUUCGUGGCAACAGACCUGUACCUCCCUCCAGAAGGGACUACGAUGACAUAAGCCCCCGUCGGGGUCCUCCACCUCCGCUGAGCCGAGGUGGACGAGGGGGCAGCCGAGCACGUAAUCUGCCUCUUCCCCCACCACCACCGCCAAGAGGAGGGGGAGACAGGUUCUCACAUGGCAGCUAUCACGGCGGCAUGGAUGAUAGACCAAGUGACAGAAGAGGCCGAGGAGGAGACCGUUAUGACAGCAUGAGUGGAGGUGUAUAUGACAACAAUUCUUCCUGGGAGCACUUUCAGUCUGGUGGCAGAGGCUCAUACAGUGAUAUUGGAGGCCCAGUCAUCACAACACAAGUCACCAUACCAAAAGAUCUGGCUGGCUCCAUCAUCGGUAAGGGCGGCCAGAGGAUCAAGCAGAUCCGCCAUGAAUCUGGGGCCUCCAUCAAGAUUGAUGAACCACUAGAGGGCUCUGAGGACCGCAUCAUCACCAUCACAGGAACACAGGACCAGAUCCAGAACGCCCAGUACCUGCUGCAGAACAGGCAUGUGCUCCUGUGACUCCCCAAACAACUCGUCUCAUUGGAGACAUGGCCUGUAGGCUCGUUCACCACUGGAUGGAAUGUGAGGCAGUACUCUGGGCGGUUCUUCUAGGAAGAGGGGAUGUGAAGAAGAGUGAAGCCAUGCCGCCAUACUGUUUCCUCCUCCUAUUCAGAGCCUACAUUCCUCUGCUUUGCCUCCUCCCCUCGCACGCUACACCAUUGAUCUACAAAUCAGUUUUUAUUUAGAAAAAAAAAAUACUUUGACAGCAAUGGAGUCAACGUGUUUCUGUGCUGUUGUAAUUCUUUUUAUGAGACUAUUGUGCCGUCAUUGGAGUAAACUCGUGUGAUAACAAUUGGUGUUGUGAGCUGCCCUGGGCCCUUAUCUCCUUCAUUUCUAUACAGCAUGCAGAAUGUAAUCUUUUUGUAAGGAACGUUAUGUGAGGAUUUUUUUUUCUCUCAGCCCCCCCCACCCCCAAAUGUUAAUGCACAUUCUAAAUAAAGAUGAAUGGUUAAAGAACCAUUGAAAUAAACUUUAAUUUUUACAUAAUAUCCUUUUCCACUUUCAAAUGAAGUGCUUUUUGUAGGGUUGGCUUUAAUGGAGUAGUUUGACAUUUUGAGUAAUAUGCUUAUUUGUCUUUGUGCUAGGCUAACCGGCUGCUAGCAGUAACCUUCGUCAACGCUGUGGUAGGCAAUUUAUUUUGGGCUUUAUUGGGCAACAUGUUCAUUAUAAUCUCUCGGCAUAUUGUAAUUUAAAUGGUCUGAGAGAAAACUAGACUUCAGCACCUUAUCUGGGCUCUGUUUUUAGGUUUUAGAAAACUAGCUGUGACAGGAGACUUUGGUCUUGGUAAGUCCUUUCGGAGAAAGAGAGAGUUCCAGUUGGCUGUUCUGCGCAUGCAUUUCCCAGGGAAACCUGGAGCUGCAGAAAGAGGUCUCACUCAGAUUCUGGCUUUUUUUUGGCAUUCUACCCAAUGCAGCUUAAACUCUUUAUCAGAUAUUGAAUAGGCCUAUUUCCUAAAAUGUCAUACUUUUGCUUUAAGUUGAGAUAAAUGUGCCAGUGUGAUAUA